AAGCAACAUAAGGAAGAAGUUGACAUCUAUCAAAAAGACAUAGAAACAAGAAAAGUAAAUGAAAAUAAACUUCGUGAAGAGGUAGAAAAGAUGAGGUUGCUUUGUGAUGAAACUGCAAUGAUACAGAGAGAAACUGAUGCCAGAUGUCAGCACAAGAUAACUGAGAUGGUGGCACUGAUGGAAAAGCACAAGAAUGAAUAUGAUAAAAUGGUUGAAGAAAAAGAUGCAGAGUUAAAAGUAUAUAAAAUGAAACAGCAAAA